GACGAACGCUGGCGGCGUGCCUAAUACAUGCAAGUCGAACGAGAGCGCCCGGUGCUUGCACUGGUCACUCUAGUCGCGCACGGGUGAGUAACGCGUGGGUCACCUGCCCGUCAGUGGGGGAUCACAUCCGGACACGGAUGCUAAAACCGCAUAGGUCUUCGAACCGCGUGGGUUGUAGGGGAGAAGAGGCGCAUGCUUCUGCUGAUGGGUGGUCCCGCGGUGCAUUAGCUAGUUGGUGAGGUAAAGGCUCACCCAGGCCGGGAUGCAUAGCCGACCUGAGGGGGUGGUAGGCCACAUUGGGAGUGAGACACGGCCCAAGCUCCUACGGGAGGCAGCAGUAGGGAAUCGGCCGCAAUGGACGCAAGUCUGACGGAGCAACGCCGCGUGAGUGAAGAAGGUGUUCGGAUCGUAAAACUCUGUUGUUAGAUAAGAACAAGUGCUAGAGUAACUGUUAGCUGCUUGACGGUAGCUAACCAGAAAGCAACGGCUAACUACGUG
rnacentral:rRNA from 1 species